CAAGUACUCCCUCUGUCCGGAAUUACUUGUCAUCAAAAUGGAUGUGUCUAGAACUAAAAUACAUCUAGAUACAUCCAUUUCAAUGACAAGUAUUUUUGGAUGGAGAGAGUACAAG
rnacentral:pre_miRNA from 1 species